rnacentral:rRNA from 1 species
AUUGAACGCUGGCGGCAGGCCUAACACAUGCAAGUCGAACGAGUGGCGGACGGGUGAGUAAUGUCUGGGAAACUGCCUGAUGGAGGGGGAUAACUACUGGAAACGGUAGCUAAUACCGCAUACCCACAGAUGUGCCCAGAUGGGAUUAGCUUGUUGGGGGGGUAACGGCUCACCAAGGAGACGAUCCCUAGCUGGUCUGAGAGGAUGACCAGCCAAACUGGACCUGAGACACGGUGCAGACUCCGACGGGAGGCAGCAGUGGGUAAUGUUGCACGAUGGGCGUAGGGCUGAUGCAGCCAUGCCGCGUGUAUGAAGAAGGCCUUCGGGUUGUAAAGUACUUUCUGCGGGGAGGCGUUACCCGCAGAAGAAGCACCGGCUAACUCCGUGCCAGCAGCCGCGGUAAUC